AACGUAGGUGACAAGCGUUAUCCGGAUUUACUGGGCGUAAAGCGCGUUCAGGCGGUUUGGCAAGUCGGGCAUGAAAUCUCCUGGCUCAACCAGGAGAGGCUAUCCGAUACUUCCAGACUUGAGGGCAGUAGAGGGUGGUGGAAUUCCGGGUGUAGUGGUGAAAUGCGUAGAUAUCCGGAGGAACACCUGUGGCGAAAGCGGCCACCUGGACUGCUCCUGACGCUGAAACGCGAAAGCUAGGGUAGCGAACGGG
rnacentral:rRNA from 1 species